GGGAUGUUGAUGCUUGUGGACGUGGCCUAAAGUGAGAACUUUGGUGAUUGAUGGUUGCAAAGAGGCCAUGAAGAGGGUUCCACACAAGAGUCAUGAGAGCCUUUGAAAAAACUUUUUACAUGUGAGACAACAAAUCAAAGAGAGGUGAGAGGACCAUGUAAUUUAUGCUUGUGUUUCAUGUUUCCGGUCACAGGUCUCUUACCUUGUUUGUUGCCCUUUUUCCAGUUCUUGGGUGCCCUUUCACAGUUAUGAAUUAAUUAAAAGAGGUAGUCAAUAUUGAUAUAAGUGU
rnacentral:lncRNA from 1 species